rnacentral:rRNA from 1 species
UACAGGGGGGGCAAGCGUUGUUCGGAAUUACUGGGCGUAAAGGGUCUGUAGGUGGCCAACUAAGUCACCCGUGAAAUCCCCAGGCUUAACCUGGGAACUGCGUGUGAUACUGGAUGGCUUGAAUUCGGGAGAGGGAUGCAGAAUUCCAGGUGUAGCGGUGAAAUGCGUAGAUAUCUGGAGGAACACCGGUGGCGAAGGCGGCAUCCUGGACCAACACUGACGCUGAGGAGCGAAAGCCAGGGGAGCAAACGGG